CAAAGGAACUAGACAGUAUAACAGAUGUAAUUUACAAAGGAACUAGACAGUAUAACAGAUUUAAUUUACAAAGGAAAAGGAACUAGACAGUAUAACAGAUGUAAUUUACAAAGGAAAAGGAACUAGACAGUAUAACAGAUGUAAUUUACAAAGGAAAAGGAACUAGACAGUAUAACAGAUGUAAUUUACAAAGGAACUAGACAGUAUAACAGAUUUAAUUUACAAAGGAAAAUGAACUAGACAGUAUAACAGAUGUAAUUUACAAAGGAAAAGGAACUAGACAGUAUAACAGAUGUAAUUUACAAAGGAAAAUGAACUAGACAGUAUAACAGAUGGAAUUUACAAAUGAAAAGGAACUAGACAGUAUAACAGAUGUAAUUUACAAAGGAAAAGGAGCUAGACAGUAUAACAGAUGUAAUUUACAAAGGAAAAUGAACUAGACAGUAUAACAGAUGUAAUUUAUAAAGGAACUAGACAGUAUAACAGAUGUAAUUUACAAAGGAAAAGGAACUAGACAGUAUAACAGAUGGAAUUUACAAAGGAAAAGGAACUAGACAGUAUAACAGAUGUAAUUUACAAAGGAACUAGACAGUAUAACAGAUGUAAUUUACAAAGGAAAAGGAACUAGACAGUAUAACAGAUGGAAUUUACAAAGGAAAAGGAACUAGACAGUAUAACAGAUGUAAUUUACAAAGGAUAUUGACAGUAUAACAGAUGUAAUUUAUAAAGGAACUAGACAGUAUAGCAGAUGGAAUUUACAAAGGAAAAGGAACUAGACAGUAUAACAGAUGUAAUUUAUAAAGGAACUAGACAGUAUAACAGAUGUAAUUUACAAAGGAACUAGACAGUAUAACAGAUGUAAUUUACAAAGGAACUAGACAGUAUAACAGAUGUAAUUUACAAAAGAACUAGACAGUAUAACAGAUGUAAUUUACAAAGGAACUAGACAGUAUAACAGAUGUAAUUUACAAAGGAACUAGACAGUAUAACAGAUUUAAUUUACAAAGGAACUAGACAGUAUAACAGAUGUAAUUUACAAAGAAAAUGGAACUAGACAGUAUAACAGAUGUAAUUUACAAAGGAACUAGACAGUAUAACAUAUGUAAUUUACAAAGAAAAAGGAACUAGACAGUAUAACAGAUGUAAUUUACAAAGGAACUAGACAGUAUAACAGAUUUAAUUUACAAAGGAACUAGACAGUAUAACAGAUUUAAUUUACAAAGGAACUAGACAGUAUAACAGAUUUAAUUUACAAAGGAACUAGACAGUAAAACAGAUUUAAUUUACAAAGGAAAAGGAACUAGACAGUAUAACAGAUGUAAUUUACAAAGGAAAAGGAACUAGACAGUAUAACAGAUGUAAUUUACAAAGGAACUAGACAGUAUAACAGAUGUAAUUUACAAAGGAAAAGGAACUAGACAGUAUAACAGAUGUAAUUUACAAAGGAAAAGGAACUAGACAGUAUAACAUAUGUAAUUUACAAAGGAAAAGGAACUAGACAGUAUAACAGAUGUAAUUUACAAAGGAAAAUGAACUACAGUAUAACAGAUGUAAUUUACAAAGGAACUAGACAGUAUAACAGAUUUAAUUUACAAAGGAACUAGACAGUAUAACAUAUGUAAUUUACAAAGGAAAAGGAACUAGACAGUAUAACAGAUGUAAUUUACAAAGGAACUAGACAGUAUAACAGAUGUAAUUUACAAAGGAACUAGACAGUAUAACAGAUUUCAUUUACAAAGGAACUAGACAGUAUAACAUAUGUAAUUUACAAAGGAACUAGACAGUAUAACAGAUGUAAUUUACAAAGGAACUAGACAGUAUAACAGAUUUCAUUUACAAAGGAACUAGACAGUAUAACAUAUGUAAUUUACAAAGGAAAAGGAACUAGACAGUAUAACAGAUGUAAUUUACAAAGGAACUAGACAGUAUAACAGAUGUAAUUUACAAAGGAACUAGACAGUAUAACAGAUGUAAUUUACAAAGGAAAAGGAACUAGACAGUAUAACAGAUUUAAUUUACAAAGGAACUAGACAGUAUAACAGAUUUAAUUUACAAAGGAACUAGACAGUAUAACAGAUGUAAUUUACAAAGGAAAAGGAACUAGACAGUAUAACAGAUGUAAUUUACAAAGGAAAAGGAACUAGACAGUAUAACAGAUGUAAUUUACAAAGGUACUAGACAGUAUAACAGAUGUAAUUUACAAAGGAACUAGACAGUAUAACAGAUGUCAUUUAUAAAGGAACUAGACAGUAUAACAGAUGUAAUUUACAAAGGAAAAGGAACUAGACAGUAUAACAGAUGUAAUUUACAAAGGAAAAGGAACUAGACAGUAUAACAGAUGUAAUUUACAAAGGAAAAGGAACUAGACAGUAUAACAGAUGUAAUUUACAAAGGUACUAGACAGUAUAACAGAUGUAAUUUACAAAGGAACUAGACAGUAUAACAGAUGUCAUUUAUAAAGGAACUAGACAGUAUAACAGAUGUAAUUUACAAAGGAAAAGGAACUAGACAGUAUAACAGAUGUAAUUUACAAAGGAACUAGACAGUAUAACAGAUGUCAUUUAUAAAGGAACUAGACAGCAUAACAGAUUUAAUUUACAAAGGAAAAGGAACUAGACAGUAUAACAGAUGUAAUUUACAAAGGAACUAGACAGUAUAACAGAUGUAAUUUAUAAAGGAACUAGACAGUAUAACAGAUUUAAUUUACAAAGAAAAAGGAACUAGACAGUAUAACAGAUGUAAUUUACAAAGAAAAAAGAACUAGACAGUAUAACAGAUGUAAUUUACAAAGAAACUAGACAGUAUAACAGAUUUAAUUUACAAAGGAAAAGGAACUAGACAGUAUAACAGAUGUAAUUUACAAAGGAACUAGACAGCAUAACAGAUUUAAUUUACAAAGGAAAAGGAACUAGACAGUAUAACAGAUGUAAUUUACAAAGGAACUAGACAGUAUAACAGAUGUAAUUUAUAAAGGAACUAGACACUAUAACAGAUGUAAUUUACAAAGGAACUAGACAGUAUAACAGAUUUAAUUUACAAAGGAACUAGACAGUAUAACAGAUUUAAUUUACAAAGGAACUAGACAGUAUAACAGAUGUAAUUUACACAGGGGAGCGCAGCUGCUUGUCAAGAAGCCACACUCAUGUUAGAAGAUCAGCUCCCUGAAACAAUUAUUUUCAAAUAAAAAACUAAUUUAACCAAAAAAAGGGGAAUUUCUAUCAUCCUAAUGAAGGUGUAGAUUACAUCUCACAUUCCAGUGUUCCUAAUGGAGGUGUAGAUUACAUCUCACAUUCCAGUGUUCCUAAUGGAGGUGUAGAUUACAUCUCACAUUCCAGUGUUCCUAAUGGAGGUGUAGAUUACAUCUCACAUUCCAGUGUUUCUAAUGAAGGUGUAGAUUACAUCUCACAUUCCAGUGUUUCUAAUGGAGGUGUAGAUUACAUCUCACAUUCCAGUGUUUCUAAUGGAGGUGUAGAUUACAUCUCACAUUCCAGUGUUUCUAAUGGAGGUGUAGAUUACAUCUCACAUUCCAGUGUUUCUAAUGGAGGUGUAGAUUACAUCUCACAUUCCAGUGUUUCUAAUGGAGGUGUAGAUUACAUCUCACAUUAGUGUUUCUAAUGGAGGUGUAGAUUACAUCUCACAUUCCAGUGUUUCUCAUGGAGGUGUAGAUUACAUCUCACAUUAGUGUUUCUAAUGGAGGUAUAGAUUACAUCUCACAUUCCAGUGUUUCUAAUGGAGGUGUAGAUUACAUCUCACAUUAGUGUUUCUAAUGGAGGUGUAGAUUACAUCUCACAUUCCAGUGUUUCUAAUGGAGGUGUAGAUUACAUCUCACAUUCCAGUGUUUCUGAUGGAGGUAUAGAUUACAUCUCACAUUCCAGUGUUUCUAAUGAAGGUGUAGAUUACAUCUCACAUUCCAGUGUUUCUAAUGAAGGUGUAGAUUACAUCUCACAUUCCACUAUUCAAACUUGUAAACAAGACUGUAUAGGAUUUCUGUUAAUCAGACUCUGUGCAGCCAAUGGCAAUGUCUGCUAUAGGUAUAAUGCCGGGAGCCACUUGUGGAUUUGACAGCUAUAAUGCAGUUCUGCCUCUGACACCAUCAAAACAACUGCUAUGCUGAUGUUGGCUAAAGCGGAUCUGAUUGGAUAGAGCCGUUAGUCUUCUGUUUUACCCCACGUCCUCUGAGGUUGGAGCGCAGGGUAAGUCAUAGUACAGCACUCCUGGAGACGUUUCAUUCGGGGUUAAGUGCCUUGAUCAACGACAGAUGGAUGGUUCAUAAAGAUCUUAAUCCGCUCCUACUAGCAUACAUCAUGCUCUACCCUCACUGUGAUCUGUCCAUAGAAGAAGGUUGCCUGUCUGUCUCUGGUGGAUGCAGAGAACGGCAGACUGCUGCCCUCUGCUGUCCUGGUGGGUACCUGCAGGCACUCCAACCUCCUGUUUGAACUCCUCUCCCCACCUCCUCCAACUGAGUCCUGCCACAGGGGGCAGGAGGAGGUGGCGGUGGAGGAAGAGGCGGAGCUACCGGGACGGAACACACCACACACACGCUCCCUGGAGCUGUCCGAGAAGUUGGAGUCGACUGUGAAGACGGAAGAGCAGUAGGCCCGUCUCAGCCCCUCUCCUACAGGUGGGUUGUGGAUGUUAGACCCAGGUCCAGAACAUACUAGGCGAGGAUGGGGGCGGGGCCACUGGGGGCGGGGAUGGACGGAAGUCAGAGUACAUGG